rnacentral:lncRNA from 1 species
GCAUAGGCACAGGAUCACUUUUGAUAAAGUUCUGAGCAAGAGCCUGUUGACCAGGUUGUAAAGGCAGAGAGCCUCCCACACUUUGAUUUAGAGGGAAAUUGGCAGGACCACUUGACGGAACAAACGACAAGGAUUGUGGAGCCAACGGUAAAAUUCCUUGUGAGAUAGACGAUGUGUACCUUAGUUGACCGAAUUGGAAGAGGGGAGAUUGAGACUGGGGUGGCAUGUGAGCCAGAGAGGGGCCUACUGGGGGAUGCAGAUGAAGAGGCAUCUGUAUUGACCCAAUUUGUAUGGCUGGGACUGGUGAUGG